UGGAUGAAGACAGAGAAGUGGAGUUUGAAACUAGCAUGUAUCAUUUUAUUGAGCAUGUACCUCCGACAAGGGAGAGCAAGAGUUUGAGUGAAGCUCACAUGAACAACAGCAAGCUACAGAAGUGGUGCAAGAAACAUGAUAAGUUACUCGCCAAGUGCUUCAAGACUAUCAAGUUUCUGACAGAUAAGCUGAGCUGCUCCUCUUCCACAACAGCUAUCCCA
rnacentral:pre_miRNA from 1 species